CAAAUAUGUGUUCUUGGGCGGCGAAAUGUCUCCAACCCGUAGAGUACAACAGUUGGUCGGUAUUAUAAGACACUUUCGCUUCUCACAUCAACUAUAUCUUAAGGUCAAAGAGGGGGUCAAUCGGGUUCUAAUGAGUGGUUCUUAGGUUCAUGGUACAGAAGAAGGGUCAAACUACCACCAGGGUCAUGAGAGUACUUCUGGAAAUGCCCCAAACUCCUACGAAAGCCUUGGCAAUUAUGUGAACUUUGGAGACGGAAUGUUUAGUAAUACGGCCAACAAUUGUAACAGUGUGUGUGUGUGUGUGUGUGUGUGUGACCUGAACAAUGGGCUCUCUCUCAGAAGGACGAUUGCGCGAGAUAUGGUAGCUUUGAGAAUGGCGAUGACAAUAGAAGCAACGAUAAAAAAAAUGAUUUGGACGGCGAUAAUAGUGAUGAUAGUAAUGGCAAUAGUUUAGGUUAUAUGAAGAAGAUGGGAGCAUGAUUAUAAUAAGAGGGUGAGUGAGUGAGAAGGCAACAGGAGAGGAAGAACGAUGAAAUUGAUUGUGAUAGUGAUGAUAGUAAUGAUAAUGGUAAUAGUACGUUUUAUAUGAAGGAGAUUGAUUGAUGGAUAGUUUAUUGUUGCAAGUAAACAACAAAGGAGAAGGGAGGAGCAUGCCAUCCCAACCCCCAGGCAGUACAGAGUGUGAUUAUACAACUAAGGAUACGUGUGGAAGUAGCACCAGGAAGCUAAAAAGAUACAAUGGUAGGGGAUGGAAACAUGAUUAUAAUACGAGGGUGAUAAGAAUGAUUGAUUGUGGUUGUGAUAAUUAUAAUGAUAUUGGUAAUUGUACGUUUUAUAAGAAGGAGAUGGAAGCGUGAUUAUGAUACGAGCGUGAGGGAGAAAGCAACAGUAGAUGAAAAACGAUAAGAAUGAUUGAUUGUGGUUGUGAUAAUAGUAAUGAUAUUGGUAAUAGUACGUUUUAUAUGAAGGAGAUGGAAGCAUGGUUAAAAUACGAGCGUAAGGGAGAAAGCAACAGUAGAAUAAGACCGAUAAAAAUGAUUGUGAUUGUGGUGAUAAUAAUAUAUGGUGAUAAUAGUAAUGGAAAUAGUAAUGGUGAUAGUAUACGGAUUGUACGGAGAUGGAAGCAUGAUUGUAAUAAAAUGGUGUGGGAGAAAGCAAUGGGAGAGGAAGAACGAUAAAAAAUUGUGAUGGUGGUGAUAAUAGUAAUGGGAGCUUGAUUAUAAUUAGAGGGUUUCAUAUUAAAAGAAGUGGCUGAAUCAUUUGUUGUAAUUAGAAAACAGUGACAAGCUGACGAACUGUCGUACAAACGCGUUUUCAGAAACGUGUCGUGACUGAAAACGGUCAGGCGGGCGCGUGGAAAGACGUACGGGUAGACAGGCAGCUGCGGCACACCCAGACACACUUGAAGGCACGGUGUUCACGCUUCCCACCCCCACCCAAAACUUUCCCUCCGGUGUGGACUUUUCUCUCCAGCCUCCUCGCCAUUAUCUCUCACCA